CGCCUACACGCUGGGUUGGAUUCCUCCAGCACAAACAACUGUACGAGUACUCGCUAAUGGCGGACGGUGGAGGUGGUGUUCCUGUCGCAUUUGUGAUUUCACACUAAAUAGGAAGGAAUCGGCGCUGGAUUGUUACACAACUGUUGCACCAGUGAAGGAUGUCUGUGUGCCGCCUUGCAUUCAGUUUCUCAGUCAUGGGGGCCUGCUUGCAACACCAGUGGCAAAGCAGUCUUGCAUUGUGCUAUUUGUUCUGGAAGGACACAAGCAUUGAGGAGCCAUUUGACCUGCCACUACACUGAUACGGUAUUUGGCAAAGGCAGGAGGCAUCUGCAAGCAACCAGUCAUUCCGAUUCUCAACCAAUCCUUCUAGUCAGCCCAUUUCUAGUGUCUUAUCUUGCAAGUUUUUUUCAAUAAAGCAU